AGCGAACGUUAGCGGCAGGCCUAACACAUGCAAGUCGAGCGAGAAAGAGGGGUUCGCCCCUUGAGUAAAGCGGCGUACGGGUGAGUAACACGUGGAUAAUCUGCCCUCCGGUGGGGGACAACAACCCGAAAGGGUUGCUAAUACCGCAUUCGUCGGCGAGCUCUGCGGAGCUCGUCGGGAAAGGUGCCCUCUACUUGUAAGGUACCGCCGGAGGAGGAGUCCGCGUCCCAUCAGCUAGUUGGUAGGGUAAUGGCCUACCAAGGCAAAGACGGGUAGCUGGUCUGAGAGGAUGAUCAGCCACACUGGGACUGAGACACGGCCCAGACUCCUACGGGAGGCAGCAGUGGGGAAUAUUGGACAAUGGGCGAAAGCCUGAUCCAGCCAUGCCGCGUGAGUGAUGAAGGCCCUCGGGUCGUAAAGCUCUGUGGAGAGGGAAGAACCCGUUCAGCAUCAGAUCCUGAACGUUGACGGUACCUCUUUAGCAAGCACCGGCUAACUCCGUGC
rnacentral:rRNA from 1 species